GUAUUCUUUUGUGUAUGAUUACUCAUGGGUCAACCCCUCUUUCAGUCAAUCUCCAAUAGUGCCAUCCGGAACAACACAGGUUGGGACAAAAAAUGCUGCCAUGGUACCGAGUACCGGCGUGUUCAAUAAUGAUCCUUCCGCAGGUUCACCUACGGAAA
rnacentral:misc_RNA from 1 species